UGGGGAAUAUUGCACAAUGGGCGCAAGCCUGAUGCAGCCAUGCCGCGUGUGUGAAGAAGGCCUUCGGGUUGUAAAGCACUUUCAGCGAGGAGGAAGGUGGUGAACUUAAUACGUUCAUCAAUUGACGUUACUCGCAGAAGAAGCACCGGCUAACUCCGUGCCAGCAGCCGCGGUAAUACGGAGGGUGCAAGCGUUAAUCGGAAUUACUGGGCGUAAAGCGCACGCAGGCGGUUUGUUAAGUCAGAUGUGAAAUCCCCGGGCUCAACCUGGGAACUGCAUUUGAAACUGGCAAGCUAGAGUCUCGUAGAGGGGGGUAGAAUUCCAGGUGUAGCGGUGAAAUGCGUAGAGAUCUGGAGGAAUACCGGUGGCGAAGGCGGCCCCCCUGGACGAAGACUGACGCUCAGGUGCGAAAGCGUGGGGAGCAAAACAGGAUUAGAUACCCUGGUAGUCCACGCUGUAAACGAUGUCGAUUUGGAGGUUGUGCCCCUUGAGGCGUGGCUUCCGGAGCUAACGCGUUAAAUCGACCGCCUGGGGAGUACGGCCGCAAGGUUAAAAACUCAAAAGG
rnacentral:rRNA from 1 species